rnacentral:rRNA from 1 species
CCUACGGGAGGCAGCAGUGAGGAAUAUUGGUCAAUGGUCGGGAGACUGAACCAGCCAAGCCGCGUGAGGGAGGAAGGUACAGAGUAUCGUAAACCUCUUUUGUCAGGGAACAAAGGCGGGGACGUGUCCCCGGAUGAGUGUACCUGAAGAAAAAGCAUCGGCUAACUCCGUGCCAGCAGCCGCGGUAAUACGGAGGAUGCGAGCGUUAUCCGGAUUUAUGGGGUUGAAAGGGUGCGCAGGCGGUCUGUUAAGUCAGCGGUCAAAGCCCGGGGCUCAACCCCGGCCCGCCGUUGAAACUGGCAGUCUCGAGUUGGAGAGAAGUAUGCGGAAUGCGCGGUGUAGCGGUGAAAUGCAUAGAUAUCGCGCAGAACUCCGAUUGCGAAGGCAGCAUGCCGGCUCCACACUGACGCUGAGGCACGAAAGCGUGGGUAUCGAACAGGAUUAGAUACCCUUGUAGUC